rnacentral:rRNA from 1 species
GACGAACGCUGGCGGCGUGCUUAACACAUGCAAGUCGAACGGAAAGGCCCUGCUUUUGUGGGGUGCUCGAGUGGCGAACGGGUGAGUAACACGUGAGUAACCUGCCCCUGACUUUGGGAUAACUUCAGGAAACUGGGGCUAAUACCGGAUAGGAGCUCCUGCUGCAUGGUGGGUUUUGGAAAGGUUCGUCGGUUGGGGAUGGACUCGCGGCUUAUCAGCUUGUUGGUGGGGUAGUGGCUUACCAAGGCUUUGACGGGUAGCCGGCCUGAGAGGGUGACCGGCCACACUGGGACUGAGAUACGGCCCAGACUCCUACGGGAGGCAGCAGUGGGGAAUAUUGCACAAUGGGCGGAAGCCUGAUGCAGCAACGCCGCGUGCGGGAUGACGGCCUUCGGGUUGUAAACCGCUUUCGCCUGGGACGAAGCGAGAGUGACGGUAAUGGGUAAAGAAGCACCGGCUAACUACGUG